rnacentral:rRNA from 1 species
ACGAAGGGGGCUAGCGUUGUUCGGAAUUACUGGGCGUAAAGGGCGCGUAGGCGGUGUGUCAAGUCAGGCGUGAAAGCCCCGGGCUCAACCUGGGAACCGCGCUUGAGACUGGCACGCUCGAGUUCGGGAGAGGAUGGUGGAAUUCCCAGUGUAGAGGUGAAAUUCGUAGAUAUUGGGAAGAACACCGAUGGCGAAGGCAGCCAUCUGGACCGACACUGACGCUGAGGCGCGAAAGCGUGGGGAGCAAACAGGA